GACGAACGCUGGCGGCGUGCUUAACACAUGCAAGUCGAACGGAAAGGCCCUGCUUUUGUGGGGUGCUCGAGUGGCGAACGGGUGAGUAACACGUGAGUAACCUGCCCUUGACUUUGGGAUAACUUCAGGAAACUGGGGCUAAUACCGGAUAGGAGCUCCUGCUGCAUGGUGGGGGUUGGAAAGUUUCGGCGGUUGGGGAUGGACUCGCGGCUUAUCAGCUUGUUGGUGGGGUAGUGGCUUACCAAGGCUUUGACGGGUAGCCGGCCUGAGAGGGUGACCGGCCACAUUGGGACUGAGAUACGGCCCAGACUCCUACGGGAGGCAGCAGUGGGGAAUAUUGAACAAUGGGCGGAAGCCUGAUGCAGCAACGCCGCGUGCGGGAUGACGGCCUUCGGGUUGUAAACCGCUUUCGCCUGUGACGAAGCGUGAGUGGCGGUAAUGGGUAAAGAAGCACCGGCUAACUACGUG
rnacentral:rRNA from 1 species